rnacentral:rRNA from 1 species
CCUACGGGUGGCAGCAGUGAGGAAUAUUGGUCAAUGGCCGGAAGGCUGAACCAGCCAAGCCGCGUGAAGGACGAAGGUGCCAAGCAUUGUAAACUUCUUUUGUCAAGGGACAAACUCAGGCUCGAGAGCCUGACCGAGGGUACUUGAAGAAAAAGCAUCGGCUAACUCCGUGCCAGCAGCCGCGGUAAUACGGAGGAUGCGAGCGUUAUCCGGAUUUAUUGGGUUUAAAGGGUGCGUAGGCGGAAUAUUAAGUCAGCGGUAAAAGUCCGGGGCUCAACCCCGUCGUGCCGUUGAAACUGGUGGUCUUGAGUGGGCGAGAGGUAUGCGGAAUGCGUGGUGUAGCGGUGAAAUGCAUAGAUAUCACGCAGAACUCCGAUUGCGAAGGCAGCAUACCGGCGCCCAACUGACGCUGAGGCACGAAAGCGUGGGUAUCGAACAGGAUUAGAUACCCUAGUAGUC